ensembl:lncRNA
GGGCGACGGGAGGAGGGGGGGAUUUCUCGCGGGCUGAGGUCGAUGCGGGGACCGAGCUGUGGCCGACUGAUGUGACUGAUUGUUGUUUUUUCGGGGGGUAGCCAGCCUCCAGUUCGAGGCAACAAGAACCAGUCAGUGGCAUUUCCGAGCGAUCCGCUGUAAAGGCCCGCAGGCAGGCGGGCAGGCACACAGAUAAAACAGAGAGAGAAAGAGAGAGAGAGAAGGGACUCUCACGUCAGAUGAGUAAUAGAGCGGUGUAUUACCACGGCACAAAAUGCGAGAGACGUGAUAAAUCGAUCCUCCUCCUUUCCUCCCGCAUAUAUCUGCGGUUGUCUCCGCUUGUUCCACCAGCACUUUUUCUUUCUUUUCUUUCUUUUUAUUGCGCUCAGCCCUCGGUGAUGUGUUGUUUCAGCUUCUGCUUCUCGCGUGCUCUCGUACGCGCAACGGAUAGAUCUCGGAGCGCUGCGCUCGAGGAAGGUGUCUGCAAACUGGGCUCUUUUUUUUUUCUUUUCUUCUUUUUUAGCUUCAGCUGAUCUGCAACACAGACGAAUACACACAGCUCGAGCUCUUCACGAUGCACAUCUGUGAAAAGGCGGCAAAGACCUGCAAUCCAUGGCUCCUGUCCUGCUGGAGAGCCAACUGAUGCUGUCGCAGCUCACAGGAAGCUGGGAUCCCACU